GGAUCAAAUCGUCGGUCGUGCCUUGGUACGUACUGGUAUUAUUGGUUCCUCCCUUCUGACGAAUCAUGAUGUCAUUAAUUUGGUAUCAUAGGAAAUCAGAACUGUUACUUUGAAAAAAUUAGAGUGUUUAAAGCAGGCUCGUGCUUGAAUACAUUAGCAUGGAAUAAUGAAAUAGGACGUUUGAUUCUAUUUUGUUGAUUUCUAGGAUUGACAUA
rnacentral:rRNA from 1 species